AAAUACUUCAUAAGCGUCUGUAUAACCUUAAGAAUAUGGCUUAAGGGUCUCUACCAGGAACCGCAAAAUCCUGAUUACAGAAAAC
rnacentral:ncRNA from 1 species